UAUUAGAUGCAUCCAGGUGAAAGAACCGUAUCCCCUUCAUCAUGGGUAUCUAUUGGGAUACAAUCCCCCUUUUCUAUCUUUUCGUUUUUCCACGCAAAAGAGCAGCCACAAUUUAUGGGAUUUUCUCGAAAAUAUCACGAUAAGCUUACAAUUUGAAUUUAGGUUUCUCAUUAUUCACAAUUUGAAUUUACGAUGCAAUUUUUUGAAGCUGCCUUCUCAUCUCCCAAAACUCAAUUAGUGCAUCAUCAAUUUGAAUUUGAAGGUUUUUUCUUUCAACUAUUUGUAUAAAUAUGUGCUAUCUGAUUUCAGAUAUUCACCCCCUUCGAACCCUUCGUCUUUUUUCUUACGAUUACGAUUUUGCCUUGAUUUACGAUGGCAGCCGCAAGACACGGUUUUGUUUCAGAAAUCACACAGAAUAUUGGGAUGUUGUUGUUCGAGUUAUUCGAUUGUUGUUCAUUGUAACAAUAUAAUCAAUAAUGUAUUUGCAUAGUUUCUGGUUUAUGGGAGUAACAAUGUAUUGUUGUUAAGGUUGCAGAUGGCCUAAACCAUUUCUGGUUUGUGAUUUUUGUGAUGCAUUUCUUAGCCUAGAUGGAAUUAAAACUCUUUUAGUGUUCAAUUAGAACUUAGAAACUUAGUUACUGGUUUUAGUAUGAUUCAGUUUCAGUUGCUUCGAUUAGAUGUUAUAGUAUAUAUACUAUUUGGAUUAACAUGUUAUCUUUCAGUUUCAGUUUCUUACAAUUUCAAGGAUACAGUUUAAUGUUAUCUUUCAUGACCAUUUUUUUAGUGGCUAUCAGUUUAAUGGCUUUUUGGUGAGUGGAAUUAUAAAGCCAUGUAGAUGAUUUUUGGUGAAUGAUUCAUUCAUGAAUUUGGAACCAUGAUUUUAUACAUUUUUUUCUUGCAGAAUGUUCCUCCAAAAUUUUUGGUUCGCUUCCGAGUAUUAAACAGCUCAUAAUAGAUUGAUUUCAAUGUCGAUUGAUUUCAAUGUUGGUGCUUAUUGUGUUGUGGCACUGAAAGCUGGAAUUCUGGAAUCAGAGUUGCUGUUUAUUCAUUCAGUUUAAAAAUGUCAGGAACUUAGCAACAUGUUGAGCAGGAAAUAUCAAUGCUAAGAUUAAGUUUUUGCAGGAAUUUCGGAUGUUCUCUUAGAUGUUGCGGCUGUUUUGUAACUCAAAUAAGCUCUUCCAAUUAGUCCCUAAUCUGCUACAAAAGGAAGCAAUGAUAAGUACUACACAUGAGUUUGAAGAGGAUGAAGAAUCUCAUAGCUGGAAGGUAUUUGCAAGCCUAUCAUUGAUAGGAUGUACCAGGGUGCUGCUGGUGUAGCUGGUGGAGCCAUGGAUGAUGAUGGUCCUACAACUGGU